CCAGACUUCGUAUCCCUACGCAUUGGACAUGAUUCAUGUUCCAAUCGGUGAAAAAAAAUCCCAAUUUUUACUUUAAUCAUCUCCUACAAUCGGCUCUUUAACAUCCGAUGAUCCGAUCGCAUCAUUGAGUGCAUAAGUUGCUAUUCGGACUAUGGAUUUCCAAAAGGAGGAAGGCUGGGUUGCUGGUUUCAGCUGUUCGGACUAUGGAUUUCCGAAAGGAGGAAGAUGGGUUGCUGGCUUCAGGUUAAAUAAGAAUGGAGGGAGAAGGACUGGAGGGAGAAGAAUCGAUUUCCCUAAAAAAGAUUGACUCCCCUAUCCACUUCUCAUUCACACAGAGAGAGAGAGACAGAGGAGGGGAGAGAAUUGGUGCUGCGUGAGUGCUCUCCUCCAGUUUACGCUUCUGAACUUUCCUCUCUUGGAACUCUUUGUUGUUCCUGGUGCUUCUUCUAGUGCUGCUCCGGCUCCUGCUCCAUCGCCAUGGGAGAAAGACAAAAGAAGGGGAGAGAACUCAGACGAGACACAGUGACUGUGUGUCACUGUCAUUUAGGGUUAGUGGGACUGCCGAGUGCUCUGUUGGGAUCAACAAACCUUACAUCGUUCAUCUUCUUUAGGUUGGAUGUUCAUCUGAGAGAGAAUCGAAUGAAUCCCAUUCCUAUGUUGGUUCGUGGGUCUGCAUGAGUGCUCUGUUGGGAUCAACAAACCUUACCAUCGGUCAUCUUCUUCGCAUAACUUGAGGUAUAUUGGAAAGAUGUCGGGUUCAGUAUUGGCUAUAUGCAGUUAUGGUGGAGUGUUAGUAAGAGAUACUGAUGGAACAUAUAUGAAGGAGGGAGGUGAAUCUAUUGCAAUUCGUAUGGAUGGAACAAUGAAUUUCAGCCAGUUCUUGGAGAAGGUUUGUUCAUCAUGGAAUUUCAGCCUUGAUGGUGUUUUACUGAAGUGGUUAGUGCCUGGGAGUAGAUGUGCUCCUAUUAGCCUUAAGGGAGACUUAGACCUCCAAAAUAUGUUGGAUUUUAACAGUAGUAGUGCCAUAGUGGAUGUAUUUGUGUCAAGGGCUGAUGGCUCUAUCGGAAGUGAUCAUAUGGGGCUAGCAGGUGCAGUGUUACUUUUGCACAGUCUCAGCAUAUGGAUGAUGGAAAUGUUGAUGAGACUUGUGACAGGGUUAUUGCAUGUUCAAGUGAGACACCUGUGGACAAAGUACUAACCAUAUUUUGGGAGAAAGCAAUAGAGGGUGUGGGACAGAUGUUUAAAUCAGCAACUAACUUUCGACAAUCGGUUGCUCAAUUUGCUAUUGCAAAUGGUUUCCGCUAUUUGACAAAGAGGAGUGAUAAAGUGAGGGUUAUUGUUAAAUGUGCAGUUGAGGGAUGUUAUUGGUCAAUUAGGGCAAGUCAUGUGAAGCCGAGUGGAAUGUUUAGGAUUCAUAAGUACCAAGGGGUACACCAACAUCCACUUGGAUCUCAGUUCAUUGACAAGGUGAAGGUACCAUAGUCUCUCAUAGCUAAUACUGCGGUUGAGAAAGUUCGAGAUACUCCCAAGUAUCCUCCAACUGAAAUCGUUGUUGAUAUGAAAAGUGACUAUCACCUAGAAUUGAGUUAUAUGCAGUGUUGGAGGGCAAAGGAGGUUGCAAAUAAUAAAGUGUUUGGAUCUUUCAAGGAA